rnacentral:rRNA from 1 species
CCUACGGGAGGCAGCAGUGGGGAAUUUUGGACAAUGGGGGCAACCCUGAUCCAGCAAUGCCGCGUGAGUGAAGAAGGCCUUCGGGUUGUAAAGCUCUUUUGUCAGGGAAGAAACAGCAGCUCUAACACAGCUGUGAAUGACGGUACCUGAAGAAUAAGCACCGGCUAACUACGUGCCAGCAGCCGCGGUAAUACGUAGGGUGCAAGCGUUAAUCGGAAUUACUGGGCGUAAAGCGUGCGCAGGCGGUUAUAUAAGACAGGUGUGAAAUCCCCGGGCUUAACCUGGGAAUUGCAUCUGUGACUGUAUAGCUAGAGUGUGUCAGAGGGGGGUAGAAUUCCACGUGUAGCAGUGAAAUGCGUAGAUAUGUGGAGGAAUACCAAUGGCGAAGGCAGCCCCCUGGGAUAACACUGACGCUCAUGCACGAAAGCGUGGGGAGCAAACAGGAUUAGAUACCCUGGUAGUCCACGCCCUAAACGAUGCUGACUAGUUGUUCGGGAUUUUAUCCUGAGUAACGUAGCUAACGCGUGAAGUCAGCGCGNGGNGAGUCGCGAGAGUAAACGUACAANAGAGUAGAGNGNGAGACGNGCGAGGACGACGACGAGGGAGGAGG